UAUGUAGGGGGCAAGCGUUGUCCGGAAUCAUUGGGCGUAAAGCGCGCGUAGGCGGCUCGGUAAGUCCGUUGUGAAAGUCAAAGGCUCAACCUUUGAAUGCCGAUGGAUACUGUCGAGCUAGAGUCCGGAAGAGGCGAGUGGAAUUCCUGGUGUAGCGGUGGAAUGCGCAGAUAUCAGGAGGAACACCAAUAGCGAAGGCAGCUCGCUGGGACGGUACUGACGCUAAGGCGCGAAAGCGUGGGGAGCGAACAGG
rnacentral:rRNA from 1 species